rnacentral:rRNA from 1 species
GACGAACGCUGGCGGCGUGCUUAACACAUGCAAGUCGAGCGGUAAGGCCCUUUCGGGGGUACACGAGCGGCGAACGGGUGAGUAACACGUGGGUGACCUGCCCUCAGCUCUGGGAUAAGCCUGGGAAACCGGGUCUAAUACUGGAUAUGACUCCAUGACGCAUGUUGUGGGGUGGAAAGCCUUGUGCGGCUGAGGAUGGGCCCGCGGCCUAUCAGCUUGUUGGUGGGGUGANGGCCUACCAAGGCGACGACGGGUAGCCGGCCUGAGAGGGCGACCGGCCACACUGGGACUGAGACACGGCCCAGACUCC